rnacentral:lncRNA from 1 species
AGCGAGCGAACGCAGCACAACAAAACAAACUAGUGCCGGCUUCCUGUUGUGCAACUCGCUCCUGAUUCUCCCGCCAGGUACCUAAUUGAAUCAUCCAUAGGAUGACAAAUCAGCCAGGGCCAAGAUUUCCAGACACUUGGGUGACUUCCUUGUCCCCGAGGUGACUUGUCAGCUCCAGGACACCGGCUUGGAUGAGACACAGGCGUGGAAAACAGCCUUCGUGAAACUCCACAAACACGUGGAACUUGAAAAGACAACUACAGCCCCGCGUGUGCGCGAGACCUCACGUCACCCCAUCAAUUCCCACUUCGCCAAAGUUUCCCUUCAGUGGGGACUCCAGAGUGGUGCGCCCCAUGCCCGUGCGUCCUGUAACUUGCCCUGAUUGUGUACCCCUCUGCCCCCUCUACUU